GAUGAAGAACGUAGUGAAAUGCGAUAAGUAAUGUGAAUUGCAGAAUUCAGUGAAUCAUCGAAUCUUUGAACGCACAUUGCGCCCGCCAGUAUUCUGGCGGGCAUGCCUGUCUGAGCGUCAUUUCAACCCUCAUGCCCCUAGGGCGUGGUGUUGGGGAUCGGCCAAAGCCCGCGAGGGACGGCCGGCCCCUAAAUCUAGUGGCGGACCCGUCGUGGCCUCCUCUGCGAAGUAGUGAUAUUCCGCAUCGGAGAGCGACGAGCCCCUGCCGUUAAACCCCCAACUUUCCAAGGUUGACCUCAGAUCAGGUAGGAAUACCCGCUGAACUUAAGCAUACAAUAAGCGGAGGA
rnacentral:misc_RNA from 1 species